CCACUCUUCUGGCAAUUUUCAGGAGGUGGUAACAUGAAUUCUCAUUAUUAUAUUUAUAAAGCGCCAACAGAUUCUGCAGCGCUGUACAAUUAGUGGAGAACAUACAAUAUACACAGACAAAUACAAAAGGUAGAGAGGGCCCUGCCCGUAAGAUGAGAUCUAGCCAUUUAAGCUCUUUUAUACGCAGUGCAUUGCUAGAUAGCCUAUGAGCUUACAAUCUAAAGGAUACCAUGGGGAUUUGAGACAAGAGGUAGCAGGGGGGAAGAGAGAUUAUAAAGAGUGAGUUAUUUUCAUAUGAGAUCGCAAUUGUUCUAGAACUUUUUCUUUAAAUCAAUUCGGAUUACUAAUGUUACUCUCUGAGAUAUUUUUAAUUUCUACUCAAUUACAAGCCGCACAACUUUCAAUACCUGUCCAUGUACACAGGGCCUUAGAUGCAAGCCAUACCUGAAUAUUUUAAUGUGCUUAAUAUCGAAGUACAAGAACAUUACAGUGCUGUCUGCGUAAAAAACAAUUUUAACCGCACAAGCCUCACUCUUCAAUGCAAAUAUUGGUGUUAUAAGAAAUAAUUUGGUGAGGACUUGUAUUUAAGCUGGGAUUAGUUUGAGGACCAAAUAACCUAUAGGACGCAGUGAAUGCAGGGCAAAGCAAAAACAAAAGGUAUUUAUUCGCUUAACCACGAAUUGUUGUAAACUGACAAAUGUAGGCCAAAAAAGCUAUCUUGGACACAUUUUUAGUGAACAAGUCACAAAAUAAUAUGUGUGAGCCAGAAAAGUGGUUCUGGAAGAAAUUUUUAUAUACAACGCCCUAACACAUUAAAUGUAUACAUUUGCAUCAAUACAGACUUUUUUUUUUUAGAUUCUAUAUAUUUAAGUCGAGUUACUGAUGGGAUUAAUG